GCGCACGCGUCCGAGAGGGCUCCGGGGCGGGGCGAGCCGCUGCCCCGGCGAGGAUCGGGGUGAUCUGCUGGAGCUCCGGCCGCAGCCUUGAUUCCCGGCCUGCAGAACGGCCCUGGAGAGAAGCGGGGAGGCGGUGGUGGGGGCGGGGCGGCGUCCGGCUCUGAGAGAGCUGGGGGGAGGAGCGCGGCGGCGACGGCGGCGGCGGCGGCCGCGGCGGCGGCUCUAGAGGGAGAGGUGAAGGAGGCGGAGGAUCUCUUUUCCUCUUCUCAGACCCGGGAGCGUCUGGGACGCGGAGCCCGGAGCUGGGGCGACAAGGCGAUUGCGGGGGCCCGGGCUAGAUUAAGAGAUCACAACGAUGCAGCAGAGUCUCUGAUUGAGCAAACCACAACU
rnacentral:lncRNA from 1 species